rnacentral:rRNA from 1 species
AGAGCGAACGCUGGCGGCAGGCCUAACACAUGCAAGUCGAACGGACCCUUCGGGGUUAGUGGCGGACGGGUGAGUAACACGUGGGAACGUGCCUUUUGGUUCGGAAUAGCUCCUGGAAACGGGUGGUAAUGCCGAAUGUGCCCUUCGGGGGAAAGAUUUAUCGCCAUUAGAGCGGCCCGCGUCUGAUUAGCUAGUUGGUGAGGUAAUGGCUCACCAAGGCGACGAUCAGUAGCUGGUCUGAGAGGAUGACCAGCCACAUUGGGACUGAGACACGGCCCAAACUCCUACGGGAGGCAGCAGUGGGGAAUCUUGCGCAAUGGGCGAAAGCCUGACGCAGCCAUGCCGCGUGAAUGAUGAAGGUCUUAGGAUUGUAAAAUUCUUUCACCGGGGACGAUAAUGACGGUACCCGGAGAAGAAGCCCCGGACUAACGUUCGCGCCAGCAGCCGC